UAAAGAAUUGAGUCAGUGACUUCAGAGUGAUAUACAUGUAAACCGGUUAAGCAAUCAGAUAGAAGCCGGUUAAGCAAUUAGAUAGAAGCCUGUGAAGCAGUUAAGUAGUCAAGCACUAGUAGUAGCAAUGGUUAAGUGGCAGUGAGCAGUCGACAGUCAAAGAAGUUUUUUAUGAUCACAGUUCUGAAAGUCUGGGAAACUUUAAAUUAUUUUGAACCACUGACAUUUUCUCAUUUAAGACCGUAGAAUUGCCGAAGAAAACUAGUUCCCGGAGCCACUUAUAAUCAAUUUUUUCGCUAUAUAUUACAAGCAAGCAUUUUCAGUACCAAAAAACUAUGAGGACUAUCAGGGCUAUCUGGACUACAAAAAGUUAUAACAAAAUGACAGAAAAUCAAUUUGUUCAUGCCAUACUGAGGGAAUGACAGGCAAUUCUUGGCAUGAAAUCGACUGCAGCAAAUGCCUUGGAUUUAAAAGCAAUUAUUUUUCAAGUAAUUAAAAUAAACAUUGAUUUUGUCAUAAACUUUAUGAAAGUAAA